CCGGAAUAUUGGACAAUGGGCGCAAGCCUGAUCCAACCAUGCCGCGUGUGUGAAGAAGGCCUUCGGGUUGUAAAGCACUUUUGUUCGGGAAGAAAAGCUACCGGUUAAUACCCGGGAGUCAUGACGGUACCGAAAGAAUAAGCACCGGCUAACUUCGUGCCAGCAGCCGCGGUAAUACGAAGGGUGCAAGCGUUACUCGGAAUUACUGGGCGUAAAGCGUGCGUAGGUGGUGCGUUAAGUCUGUCGUGAAAGCCCCGGGCUCAACCUGGGAAUGGCGAUGGAUACUGGCGCGCUAGAGUGCGGUAGAGGAGAGUGGAAUUCCCGGUGUAGCAGUGAAAUGCGUAGAGAUCGGGAGGAACAUCAGUUGCGAAGGCGGCUCUCUGGACCAACACUGACACUGAGGCACGAAAGCGUGGGGAGCAAACAGGAUUAGAAACCCUGGUAGUCCACGCCCUAAACGAUGCGAACUGGACGUUGGGAGCAACUAGGCUCUCAGUGUCGAAGCUAACGCGUUAAGUUCGCCGCCUGGGGAGUACCGGUCGCA
rnacentral:rRNA from 1 species